rnacentral:rRNA from 1 species
CCCUUAGAUGUCCUGGGCCGCACGCGCGCUACAAUGACUCACUCAGAAAGUUUUUCCUGAUCCGGAAGGAUUCGGGUAAUCUUCAUAGCAUGAGUCGUGUUAGGGACCGAUCUUUGCAAUUAUAGAUCUUGAACGAGGAAUGCCUAGUAAGUGCAGCUCAUCAGGCUGUACUGAUUACGUCCCUGCCCUUUGUACACACCGCCCGUCGCUCCUACCGAUUGAGUGGUCCGGUGAACCUUCUGGAUUAAGCAGCAAUGCUUGAGAAGUUAGGUAAACCUUAUCACUUAGAGGAAGGAGAAGUCGUAACA